ensembl:snRNA U6 U6 spliceosomal RNA
GUGCUCGCUUCAGCAGCACAUGUACUAAAAUUGAAACGAUACAGAGAAUAUUAGCAUGGUCCCUUCAUAAGGAUGACAUGCAAAUUUAUGCAGCAUUCCAUAAUUUC